rnacentral:rRNA from 1 species
AGUCGAGGGGUAUGCUUCUUCGGGAGCAGAGACCGGCGCACGGGUGCGUAACGCGUAUGCAAUCUACCUUUUACAGAGGGAUAGCCCAGAGAAAUUUGGAUUAAUACCUCAUAGUAUAAUAGCUCGGCAUCGAGCAAUUAUUAAAGUCACAACGGUAAAAGAUGAGCAUGCGUCCCAUUAGCUAGUUGGUAAGGUAACGGCUUACCAAGGCUACGAUGGGUAGGGGUCCUGAGAGGGAGAUCCCCCACACUGGUACUGAGACACGGACCAGACUCCUACGGGAGGCAGCAGUGAGGAAUAUUGGACAAUGGGCGCAAGCCUGAUCCAGCCAUGCCGCGUGCAGGAUGACGGUCCUAUGGAUUGUAAACUGCUUUUGUACAGGAAGAAACAGUUCUACGUGUAGAACCUUGACGGUACUGUAAGAAUAAGGAUCGGCUAACUCCGUGCCAGCAGCCGCGGUAAUACGGAGGAUCCAAGCGUUAUCCGGAAUCAUUGGGUUUAAAGGGUCCGUAGGCGGUUUAAUAAGUCAGUGGUGAAAGCCCAUCGCUCAACGGUGGAACGGCCAUUGAUACUGUUAAACUUGAAUUAUUAGGAAGUAACUAGAAUAUGUAGUGUAGCGGUGAAAUGCUUAGAGAUUACAUGGAAUACCAAUUGCGAAGGCAGGUUACUACUAAUUGAUUGACGCUGAUGGACGACAGCGUGGGUAGCGAACAGGAUUAGAUACCCUGGUAGUCCACGCCGUAAACGAUGGAUACUAGCUGUUGGGAGCAAUUUCAGUGGCUAAGCGAAAGUGAUAAGUAUCCCACCUGGGGAGUACGUUCGCAAGAAUGAAACUCAGAGGAAUUGACGGGGGCCCGCACAAGCGGUGGAGCAUGUGGUUUAAUUCGAUGAUACGCGAGGAACCUUACCAAGGCUUAAAUGUAGAUUGACCGGUUUGGAAACAGAUCUUUCGCAAGACAAUUUACAAGGUGCUGCAUGGUUGUCGUCAGCUCGUGCCGUGAGGUGUCAGGUUAAGUCCUAUAACGAGCGCAACCCCUGUUGUUAGUUGCCAGCGAGUCAUGUCRGGAACUCUAACAAGACUGCCAGUGCAACUGUGAGAAAGGU